CUAAACCUUGAAGGAAAGUGGAAACUGCUGGCCACAGUUAAGAACUUUCUGCUGGUCUGUAUUAUAAAUGCACGAUUGCAGUGCAGCGUUCGUAUCCGCAAUAAGUCUAUACAUGCAUGUUUUCUGUGAUGCACACAAUUAAUUAAUGUGAUGGUAGCUGUUAAGACACUUACAUUUAACAUUCAAAUGUUUUAAAAACCAAACGUGUUCAGGUUUUUAUGUGUAUUUGGUUUGUGAAGUGUAAUUUUUUUUCCUCUCCCUCACAGAUAACCAUGGUUAAUAAAUGGUCAGACACGUCACUGGCUUUAAAAUAUAAACCCCAUUGAUGCAAAAAGAUGCUGCAUGGAAUGACAAUGUGGUUUGGAACAGACUUGGUGAAGAACAUGGAAACAUCUCUUAAUAAAAUGGCCCCAAACAUCAUCAGGAGUGCAAAAGAAGGAAGUAAAAACAUCUCUACGCCAAUCUCAUUGGAGAGGAAACCACAGAAGGAACCCAAAGGUCCCACACCAACCAUAGUGUUCAACGGCUCUCCUGAUCUUUUCAAAUCUGAAUGUAUCAACUUUAUAAUGGACAAUGUGAACUUAAUAUGUGGAAGACAUUGACAUCACAGGCUGUGGAAUGACUGUGUCACAGGUCGGAGAAGCGGACCGCCCCUGUCGCGGAUCACGCUCCUCCUAGUUCCACCUCGAGGAGGUCCCAAAGCACCCCAAUGACCAGACAAACCAGAGAUAAGUAAAAUAUAGAAAUAGAAACUUUAUUUAAAUUAUUUAAAACUAAAGUGGGGAAUGGGAAAGGACAUCUAAAAAUCUCGCUUCUCGCCCUCAGGGGGAGUAUUACGGGGCCAGGGACGUUGGAGGGGUUUCCACGUGACUCCAGCUGGAACACCGCUACAGAGCGUAUCUGGGUGGGUUGGGCACACACCGUCGCGGCGGCCCCUGAUGGCAUCCACAAGGGUCCAAGACCCUCCUAAGCUCCUAGCCAUAGCAGAACUACGUAUUUCAGCACCCAAAGGACUAACAACCCAGCUGGCAUCUGCAGCGUAUAUCCAACGCGAUCAAACUUCACUCUGACAAGUAACUUCCUAUACACAACCACGCCGUCCUUUCGCCCGGACCAGCCCCGCACUCUUUCCGCCCGCUACCUAGCGGUCGCCGGAUCAGCAGAGCCUGCGGACUCUUCGGAGGCUGGUCUUCGUUGUGCUGCCCAAGGCGGAAGUUGACUCGCCCGAAAAUCGACCCUUCCAGUAACUUCUACCUUCUCUCUUUAUAUCCUCCUCCCAGGCGUGGCUCGCCCAACCAUCGCUCGCCACGUCACUCACACAGCUGUGCCUUGUUUCAGCGAGUGCGGGGAUUCCCGGGGAACCCUGAAGUGCCGGUGUCUGUACAAACCGGUCCGGGCGGAACCUCUUCACUCUCCUUUUGGUUCCGCCCCGCAUAGUCACUCCGUGACAACUGUUUGCGUUUUUUUUCUCCUCAAUGUUCAAUACCCUUUUGCCAUUAAGCACAAAGUGACUUUAAUUUAUAAAAUAUAUGCUUAAGUUUUAAUACCUGUACAAAACAAAUGUACAAUCAACUUGUGUAAAUUGUCAUUCUAUUUAAUAGAUUGUUCAUGAAUUGUCUUUAAAUGCAUUGUGAUUUCGGUAACACUUUACAAUAAAGUUCAUUAGUUAACAUUAGUUAAUGUAUUAACUAACUUGAACAAACCAUAAGCAAUACAUUUGUUACAGUAUUUAUUCAUCUUUGUUAAUGUUAGUUAAUAAAAAUGUAAGCUUUAAUUGCUUGUUCAUGUUAGUUCAGAGUGCAUUAACUAAUGUUAACAAGAUUUUAAUAAAGUAAUUGUUGAAAUUAACAUUAACAAAGAUUAAUAAAGGCUGUAUAAGUGCAGUUCAUUAUUAGUUCAUGUUAACUAAUGUAGCUAACUAAUGUUAACUAAUGAACCUUAUUGUAAAGUGUUACCGUGAUUUCUUUUCAUCAUUUCAGACACAUGUAAAAGUUACUAAAACUUAGUACUGCCUAUACUGUACAGUAUCUAUGCGUAAGGGAAAUAACUUAAACAAAAUUUUUAAUGUAUAGUGUAAUUAAGAGUUUAGCUGUUUAAUACAGAGAUGCAAUUUAUUUAUAUAUAUUAUUUAUAUAUAAACGUAUGUAUGUUUAUUAAAAAGUGAAAAUGCUUAAUGGAAAUAAUUAAAUAACUAAAUGGUUGAA